UGGUCGGUCCAACUGCAAUCAGCUCGACUCGCGCGUCCAUUAUCCGUUCCCCAUAUAAAAUUCGCCCAAAAUCGAACUUCAUCCCUCUGGUUGCUCCUCAGAUUCUGCUAGGGAUCGUUGUCGGACUCAAUUUUCGGCCAUCACUCACUGAUUUUGGUGCGAAGGUCUGCUCCUGUCAAUUGAUCGUAGCCAACAACCUUAGCACCUCGAAAUUCUUCGUUUAGCGUAAGGGACUGCACGGAUGAUGGAUAACAAUAACUGGAGACCGGCCCCACCUGUUGGUGCCGGUGCCGGCGGCCAGGCUGCCCCGGAGGGCGAUGACUGGCGGAAGCAUUUGCCUCGGGAGUCGAGGGAGCGGAUAGUGAACUAGAUAAUGGAGGCUUUGGAAAGGCAUCUCCCAUUGUCUGAUCCAGAGGAAUUGCACGAUCUGAGGAGAAUAGCAGUUCAGUUUGAGUAAAAAAAAUUUCAUGCUGCCUUGAACCAGUCCGAUUAUUUGCGGAAAAUAUCUUUAAAGAUGCUGGCGAUGGAGACAAAAUCUCAAAAUCCGGUAGCCAAUUCUAUGUCGUCCGGAUCUGCUGGUAAUAGCAGUGAGCCUCCUGAUCCAGCUCGAAGAGUUGCGUCUUGAGGACUGAUAUGGGUGAACCCAGUACAAGCAGCAACUCCGAAAAAUAUGAGCAUGAGGGUAUAGAGGGGAACUUGCUGGAGGGAUAUGGCGAAGCGUCUAAGAUGGCUAUGUUCUUUUGAAAUAGUUUUUCGUAAUCAAGGGGGAACAACUUUUCAAAUAUGAGUCUUCAGACUUAAUUUUUAGUUAGCAAUUGUUGGUUCAGCCUGAACAAACAAUUAUUAUUAUUGGGAACUUGAUGUUAUCAUUUUUAGGCCUUUCUGGGACCCUGAAACGAUGGAGAUAUGCACCGGGUGAAAGUACUAAAUAAGAACUCCUAUUCUUCUGGAAACCUCAAUGAAGGCUUUGCGUCGACAGAUGGCUUCUCCUCAAUUGUUGUCCAGCAUUUUGAUGGCGUCGAAAGAGAUACGAGUCCGGAAUGGAGGAGGAGCCAUUUUGGUUUGCAGUCGAGAACCCCUUUUUUUCUCCUUUCCGAGAAAAAUGUAGUCGAGAGCUCAUUUGCUUGACGAGAUGGGGUUCUGAGAUGGAGCAGAGAGAACAGACGGGCAAAUGUUGAGCUUGAACUAUCUCUGUGCGGAGAUGGAGAUUUUUAAAAUAAAUAAAUAAAUAAAUAUUUGUUAGACAAGUUUGCA